rnacentral:misc_RNA from 1 species
AACGGUCUAUACCUGCGGUACCUGCGGAGGGAUCAUUAUUGAAUAACUUGGUGCUGAGCUGGCCCAUUGGGCAUGUGCUCGCGUCAUAUUAUUUAUCUAUCUCUUGUGCACCUCUUGUAGUCUCUGAAGACUCGCAGUCAAAUGCGGUUUGGGGUUUGGGCUUUUCUGUCCUCUCCCUGCUUGCUUCAGAGGCUAUGAUUUUUAUACACACUGUUUAAGUUACAGAAUGUCUCUUAUUGA